UCUCGGACAUUCCAUCCUUCACGUGUCCACAUCUUCCUGACGGCAGACAUGGCAGGACCAGUGUGAAUAAUGCUGAGAACAUGGCUGUACUAAUAUCUCUUCAAGACCCUGCUUUUUAAUUCUUUUGUGUGUACCAGAAGUGGAAUUGUUGGAUCAUAUGGCAGUUUCUUGACCAGCUGAGCUAACAGGGAAGACCACAAUAUUUUUAGAUGUUCAAGCUGGACUUAGAAAAGGCAGACGAACCAGAGAUCAAAUUGCCAACAUUCGUUGGAUCAUCGAAAAAGCAAGAGAGUUCCAGAAAAACAUCUACUUCUCCUUUAUUGACUACACCAAAGCCUUCGACUGUGUGGAUCACCACAAACUGUAGAAAAUUCUUCAAGAGAUGGGAAUACCAGACAACCUGACCUGCCUCCUGAGAAAUCUGUAUGCAGGUCACGAAGCAACAGUUAGAACUGCAUGGAACAACAGACUGGUUCCAAAUCAGGAA
ensembl:lncRNA